rnacentral:rRNA from 1 species
UACAGAGGGUGCGAACGUUGCUCGGAAUUACUGGGCGUAAAGCGCAUGUAGGCGGAUCCAUAAGUCGGGCGUGAAAUCCCCAGGCUCAACCUGGGAACUGCGCUCGAAACUGUGGGUCUUGAGUGUCGGAGAGGAUGGCGGAAUUCCUGGUGUAGAGGUGAAAUUCGUAGAUAUCAGGAGGAACACCGGUGGCGAAGGCGGCUCUCUGGACCACUACUGACGCUGAGGCGCGAAAGCUAGGGGAGCAAACAGG